UUAGGGUUUAGGGUUUCGCUGGAAGCGUUAGCGUCAUUAAAAUUAGCGUUUUUAUUUUUUGUAGCUUUUUUUUAUUUAAUUUAAUAUUUUUUAAUUAAUAAUCUAUGUGUUCAUUUGAUUGGUCAUAAAGGGUGGAAUAAAUUUAAAGGUUCAUCCUAGGAGGUGAACCUAAGUUUUGUUCGUCACGCAUAUCGUCUAGUCAAAAACGUUAUGAGUAUGUGUUGCAGUGUAGGCCAAAAUGUAUAUGUAAUUAAUUUAUCUUAAUUUAUUUUAUAUUGUAUGCUAAGUUAUAUAAAUCCAACUCUGUCGUAAAAAAUUUCUAUUAAAGUAUUCAUUUAAACUCUAAGAGAUGCAUUUUAUUGAUAUAUAAGAAGCAGAGUUCAAGGUAUUAGAGUAUCCAUGGAUUCCAAUGACCCAUGCGAGACCAGCUAUCCAUGUAGCACCAAUUAUGCAUUCUAAUAUGAGAGUCAGCGAUCUCAUUAACCAUGUAUCGAAGGAUUGGGAUAUUG
rnacentral:lncRNA from 1 species